rnacentral:lncRNA from 1 species
CUUAAUAUCUGCCACUUUUCUUCACAUGGCGCUCCUGUUCUUCACCUAUAGCAUUCACAUUAUGAUUUGGCAAAGGAUUGCCACUAACAUUUGGCGCAGUCAUCCCUCCAGUAUCAAAGCAAAUCAUCCCAUCCUUGAUCAACCGUUGCACUUUGUGUUUCAGGGUAGUGCAAUUUUUGGUAGAGUGACCAGCAAUCCCAUAAUGGUAGUCACAGUGGGCAGUGGGAUCAUACCACU